CAAUGGGCGAGAGCCUGAACCAGCCAAGUCGCGUGAAGGAUGACUGUCUUAUGGAUUGUAAACUUCUUUUAUACGGGAAUAACAAGAGUCACGUGUGGCUCCCUGCAUGUACCGUAUGAAUAAGCAUCGGCUAACUCCGUGCCAGCAGCCGCGGUAAUACGGAGGAUGCGAGCGUUAUUCGGAUUUAUUGGGUUUAAAGGGUGCGUAGGCGGCCUGUUAAGUCAGCGGUGAAAUCUAGGAGCUUAACUCCUAAAUUGCCAUUGAUACUGGCGGGCUUGAGUGUAGAUGAGGUAGGCGGAAUGCGUGGUGUAGCGGUGGAAUGCAUAGAUAUCACGCAGAACUCCGAUUGCGAAGGCAGCUUACUAAGGUACAACUGACGCUGAAGCACGAAAGCGUGGGUAUCAAACAGGAUUAGAUACCCUGGUAGUCCACGCAGUAAACGAUGAUAACUGGGCGUAUGCGAUAUACAGUAUGCUCCUAAGCGAAAGCGUUAAGUUAUCCACCUGGGGAGUACGCCGGCAACGGUGAAACUCAAAGGAAUUGACGGGGGCCCGCACAAGCGGAGGAACAUGUGGUUUAAUUCGAUGAUACGCGAGGAACCUUACCCGGGAUUGAAAUGUAGAUGACCGCUCCUGAAAGGGAGUUUUCCUUCGGGACAUCUAUGUAGGUGCUGCAUGGUUGUCGUCAGCUCGUGCCGUGAGGUGUCGGCUUAAGUGCCAUAACGAGCGCAACCCCUGUCUACGGUUGCCAUCAGGUAAUGCUGGGAACUCCGUAGAGACUGCCGUCGUAAGGCGUGAGGAAGGUGGGGAUGACGUCAAAUCAGCACGGCCCUUACAUCCGGGGCGACACACGUGUUACAAUGGUAAGGACAAAGGGCAGCUACCUGGCGACAGGAUGCGAAUCUCUAAACCUUAUCACAGUUCGGAUCGGAGUCUGCAACUCGACUCCGUGAAGCUGGAUUCGCUAGUAAUCGCGCAUCAGCCAUGGCGCGGUGAAUACGUUCCCGGGCCUUGUACACACCGCCCGUCAAGCCAUGGGAGUCUGGAGUACCUAAAGUCCGUAACCGCGA
rnacentral:rRNA from 1 species